rnacentral:rRNA from 1 species
UACGAGGGGGGCGAGCGUUGUCCGGAAUCAUUGGGCGUAAAGCGCGUGUAGGCGGCCAGGUAAGUCCGUUCUGAAAGCCCGGGGCUCAACCCCGGGAGGCGGAUGGAUACUGCUUGGCUCGAGUCCGGAAGAGGCGAGUGGAAUUCCCGGUGUAGCGGUGAAAUGCGCAGAUAUCGGGAGGAACACCAAUGGCGAAGGCAGCUCGCUGGGACGGUACUGACGCUGAGACGCGAAAGCGUGGGGAGCAAACAGG